rnacentral:piRNA from 1 species
UGGCCUUCUUUAUGAUUCCGAUUUAGAGA